AAGACAGCAGGACGGUGGUCAUG
rnacentral:snRNA from 1 species